rnacentral:rRNA from 1 species
GACGAACGCUGGCGGCGUGCUUAACACAUGCAAGUCGAGCGGAAAGGCCCUUCGGGGUACUCGAGCGGCAAACGGGUGAGUAACACGUGAGUAACCUGCCCCAGACUUUGGGAUAACCCUCGGAAACGGGGGCCAAUACCGGAUACGACACAGCUUCGCAUGGGGUCCGUGUGGAAAGUUUUUCGGUUUGGGAUGGGCUCGCGGCCUAUCAGCUUGUUGGUGGGGUGAUGGCCUACCAAGGCGACGACGGGUAGCCGGCCUGAGAGGGCGACCGGCCACACUGGGACUGAGACACGGCCCAGACUCCUACGGGAGGCAGCAGUGGGGAAUAUUGCACAAUGGGCGGAAGCCUGAUGCAGCGACGCCGCGUGAGGGAUGACGGCCUUCGGGUUGUAAACCUCUUUCAGCAGGGACGAAGCGUAAGUGACGGUACCUGCAGAAGAAGCGCCGGCCAACUACGUG